rnacentral:rRNA from 1 species
GAUGAACGCUGGCGGCGUGCCUAAUACAUGCAAGUCGAGCGAACGGACGAGAAGCUUGCUUCUCUGAUGUUAGCGGCGGACGGGUGAGUAACACGUGGAUAACCUACCUAUAAGACUGGGAUAACUUCGGGAAAACGUAGCUAAUACCGGAUAAUAUUUUGAACCGCAUGGUUCAAAAGUGAAAGACGGUCUUGCUGUCACUUAUAGAUGGAUCCGCGGUGCAUUAGCUAGUUGGUAAGGUAACUGCUUACCAAGGCAACGAUGCAUAGCCGACCUGAGAGGGUGAUCGGCCACACUGGAACUGAGACGCGGUCCAGACGCCUACGGGAGGCAGCAGUAGGGAAUCUUCCGCAAUGGGCGAAAGCCUGACGGAGCAACGCCGCGUGAGUGAUGAAGGUCUUCGGAUCGUAAAACUCUGUUAUUAGGGAAGAACAUAUGUGUAAGUAACUGUGCACAUCUUGACGGUACCUAAUCAGAAAGCCACGGCUAACUACGUG